GACGAACGCUGGCGGCGCGCCUAACACAUGCAAGUCGAACGAGCGAGAGAGAGCUUGCUUUCUUGAGCGAGUGGCGAACGGGUGAGUAACGCGUGAGGAACCUGCCUCAAAGAGGGGGACAACAGUUGGAAACGACUGCUAAUACCGCAUAAGCCCACGGUGCCGCAUGGCACAGAGGGAAAAGGAGCAAUCCGCUUUGAGAUGGCCUCGCGUCCGAUUAGCUAGUUGGUGAGGUAACGGCCCACCAAGGCGACGAUCGGUAGCCGGACUGAGAGGUUGCACGGCCACAUUGGGACUGAGACACGGCCCAGACUCCUACGGGAGGCCGCAGUGGGGAAUAUUGCACAAUGGGGGAACCCCUGAUGCAGCGACGCCGCGUGGAGGAAGAAGGUCUUCGGAUUGUAAACUCCUGUUGUUGGGGAAGAUAAUGACGGUACCCAACAAGGAAGUGACGGCUAACUCCGUG
rnacentral:rRNA from 1 species